rnacentral:rRNA from 1 species
GAUGAACGCUGGCGGCGUGCCUAAUACAUGCAAGUCGAGCGAACAGACGAGGAGCUUGCUCCUCUGACGUUAGCGGCGGACGGGUGAGUAACACGUGGAUAACCUACCUAUAAGACUGGGAUAACUUCGGGAAACCGGAGCUAAUACCGGAUAAUAUAUUGAACCGCAUGGUUCAAUAGUGAAAGACGGUUUUGCUGUCACUUAUAGAUGGAUCCGCGCCGCAUUAGCUAGUUGGUAAGGUAACGGCUUACCAAGGCAACGGUGCGUAGCCGACCUGAGAGGGUGAUCGGCCACACUGGAACUGAGACACGGUCCAGACUCCUACGGGAGGCAGCAGUAGGGAAUCUUCCGCAAUGGGCGAAAGCCUGACGGAGCAACGCCGCGUGAGUGAUGAAGGUCUUCGGAUCGUAAAACUCUGUUAUUAGGGAAGAACAAAUGUGUAAGUAACUAUGCACGUCUUGACGGUACCUAAUCGGAAAGCCACGGCUAACUACGUG